ACUUCUUUAGGGAGCUGUCAUGUCCUCCAUCUUGUCUGAACGGUCGUCGUCUUGACGAUGAAGUCUUGACUCUCUAGCUGUUUGUUUGCUGACUUUAGGCACUGUCCCAAACUAUAAUCAAUGAAAUCCCACAGCUGUGACCUCCACAGGGCUUCAUACAACAGAGGGUCAAGGACAGUUUGAGGAGAGCCCAACCCGUCCUGGUCCACAAGGUGGCGUACUUGUGUUCUGAGGAAGCGCGUCGUCCAAUCAGAGCAGCGGGAGCAGGGAGAGACCAUCUCGACGCAGACAGCAGGGUGGUUCGGAGGCAGCUCGACGGAGUGCUAUCAGCGUUGUCCCUACCAGCUCUGCCCCCCGGCGUCCCCUCGUCUGCGUGCGACCGGUGGUACGCUCCGCCAGGCUCGAUAAGAACCCCUCCUCUCUGUCUCCCCCUCUUCUGUCAGUGCUAGGGUGUAGCUACUGAUCCUAUACUACAGCAGGGAGAGUGAGAGAGAGAGGAGGGACAUCAGGUGUCACAGCUCUGCAACCCCCAGUUGAGGCUGCAUUACCACGACAACCAGCUCCAGGGGUGCUGCCAGCCUCGCCAGCCCAGCACCCAGCCGGCCGCCCAGCCAGCUAUCCAGCCAUCUAACCGUCCGUCCGUCCGCCCAGCCACGCCGGCCCGGCCCUGCCCUGCCCAGAACUGGCAACCUGCGGGAGUCAUCAGGGCAACGUGAAAAAAGACAAAGAGGAUGCAUGUGAGGACUCAUACAGAUUUAGAUAGAUUCAGAUUUCCUGAGAUGGGAAGAGGGAGAACUGAAUCUACCCCCAAGGGAGGACGCAAUGAGAUGGAACCACUUCUCUGCUUUCCAUCAGAGAACCUCUUCAGCCAUCAGAGCGCCAUCUGCUGGCUCGGUGGGGCGGGACAGCUGGUGUUGUGAAUCAGGCCGCCGCAAUCCAGGGACCGGCUACUUCCCAACACCAGGGUCGCACCCUCACCCCUCACAUCUUCUCAGGCUUUCACCUCCGUCUCCAAGCAUUCAGUCAGCAUAUAUAUAUAUUAAACUGUUGCUUAAUACUCUGAUGUAAUGGUGAUUAAUUACUUGUACUUUAUAUUUCCUUUGCAUCAUAUCAAUUUUAUGAAUCAGAAAAAUAGUACAACAAACAGCAAAUAUCCCAAAUAAAGAUUUAUCACACCCCACAUAACACAUACAACAAGGAUAAUGGCAUAAUUUACAAUUAAAACAAGUACUUUUACCCCAAAAAAAUUAAAUCUACAUUU